GGGGUGGGGGCUCAGUGGUACAGUGCUCACCUAGCAUGCAGGAGGCACUGGGUUCCAUCCUCAGCACCACA
rnacentral:tRNA from 1 species